GCCAUACCAGCCUGAAUACGCCCGAUCUCGUCUGAUCUCGGAAGCUAAGCAGGGUCGGGCCUGGUUAGUACUUGGAUGGGAGACCGCCUGGGAAUACCAGGUGCUGUAAGCAUUUU
rnacentral:rRNA from 1 species